UGGGUAACCUGCCUUACACAGGGGUAUAACACUUAGAAAUAGGUGCUAAAACCGCAUAAGCGCGACUAGGCUUACGCAAUGAAGCGGUGUGAAAAACUCCGGUGGUGUAAGGAUGGACCCGCGUCUGUAUUAGCUUGUUGGCGGGUAACGGCCCACCAAGGCGACGAUCAGUAGCCGGACCUGAGAGGGUCGGACGGCCACAUUGGGACUGAGACACGGCCCAGACUCCUACGGGAGGCAGCAGUGGGGAAUAUUGCACAAUGGGGGAAACCCUGAUGCAGCGACGCCGCGUGAGUGAAGAAGUAAUUCGUUACGUAAAGCUCUAUCAGCAGGGAAGAAAAUGACGGUACCUGAGUAAGAAGCCCCGGCUAACUACGUG
rnacentral:rRNA from 1 species